rnacentral:rRNA from 1 species
GUGGAUUAGUGGCGAACGGGUGAGUAACACGUGAGUAACCUGCCCUUGACUCUGGGAUAAGCCUGGGAAACUGGGUCUAAUACCGGAUAUGACCUUCCAUCGCAUGGUGGUUGGUGGAAAGCUUUUGUGGUUUUGGAUGGACUCGCGGCCUAUCAGCUUGUUGGUGGGGUAAUGGCCUACCAAGGCGACGACGGGUAGCCGGCCUGAGAGGGUGACCGGCCACACUGGGACUGAGACACGGCCCAGACUCCUACGGGAGGCAGCAGUGGGGAAUAUUGCACAAUGGGCGCAAGCCUGAUGCAGCGACGCCGCGUGAGGGAUGACGGCCUUCGGGUUGUAAACCUCUUUCAGUAGGGAAGAAGCGUAAGUGACGGUACCUGCAGAAGAAGCGCCGGCUAACUACGUGCCAGCAGCCGCGGUAAUACGUAGGGCGCAAGCGUUAUCCGGAAUUAUUGGGCGUAAAGAGCUCGUAGGCGGUUUGUCGCGUCUGCCGUGAAAGUCCGGGGCUCAACUCCGGAUCUGCGGUGGGUACGGGCAGACUAGAGUGAUGUAGGGGAGACUGGAAUUCCUGGUGUAGCGGUGAAAUGCGCAGAUAUCAGGAGGAACACCGAUGGCGAAGGCAGGUCUCUGGGCAUUAACUGACGCUGAGGAGCGAAAGCAUGGGGAGCGAACAGGAUUAGAUACCCUGGUAGUCCAUGCCGUAAACGUUGGGCACUAGGUGUGGGGGACAUUCCACGUUUUCCGCGCCGUAGCUAACGCAUUAAGUGCCCCGCCUGGGGAGUACGGCCGCAAGGCUAAAACUCAAAGGAAUUGACGGGGGCCCGCACAAGCGGCGGAGCAUGCGGAUUAAUUCGAUGCAACGCGAAGAACCUUACCAAGGCUUGACAUGAACCGGAAAGAUCUGGAAACAGGUCCCCCACUUGUGGUCGGUUUACAGGUGGUGCAUGGUUGUCGUCAGCUCGUGUCGUGAGAUGUUGGGUUAAGUCCCGCAACGAGCGCAACCCUCGUUCUAUGUUGCCAGCACGUGAUGGUGGGGACUCAUAGGAGACUGCCGGGGUCAACUCGGAGGAAGGUGGGGACGACGUCAAAUCAUCAUGCCCCUUAUGUCUUGGGCUUCACGCAUGCUACAAUGGCCGGUACAAAGGGUUGCGAUACUGUGAGGUGGAGCUAAUCCCAAAAAGCCGGUCUCAGUUCGGAUUGGGGUCUGCAACUCGACCCCAUGAAGUCGGAGUCGCUAGUAAUCGCAGAUCAGCAACGCUGCGGUGAAUACGUUCCCGGGCCUUGUACACACCGCCCGUCAAGUCACGAAAGUUGGUAACACCCGAAGCCGGUGGCCUAACCCCUUGUGGGAGGGAG